AUUGAACGCUGGCGGCAGGCCUAACACAUGCAAGUCGAGCGGAUGAAGGGUUCUUGCUCCUGGAUUCAGCGGCGGACGGGUGAGUAAUGCCUAGGAAUCUGCCUGGAAGUGGGGGAUAACGUCCGGAAACGGGCGCUAAUACCGCAUACGUCCUGUGGGAGAAAGUGGGGGAUCUUCGGACCUCACGCUAUCAGAUGAGCCUAGGUCGGAUUAGCUAGUUGGUGGGGUAAAGGCCUACCAAGGCGACGAUCCGUAACUGGCCUGAGAGGAUGAUCAGUCACACUGAGGCUGAGACACGGUCCUGAGACCGAGAGAAGGCACAGGUGGGGAAGAGUGGACGCUGUGGGGAAUACUGAUCCAUGCGUGCCGCGUGGGUGAAGAAGGGCUUCGGGUGGGAUGACGCCUUUAGUGUUGAAGAAGGGCAUUAGGAUGGUACCAGGUUUUUGUGACGGUACCAACAGAAGAAGCACCGGCUAACUUCGUG
rnacentral:rRNA from 1 species